rnacentral:rRNA from 1 species
AGCGAACGCUGGCGGCAGGCUUAAUACAUGCAAGUCGAGCGCCCGUAGCAAUACGGGAGCGGCAGACGGGUGAGUAACGCGUGGGAACGUACCCUUUGGUUCGGAACAACACAGGGAAACUUGUGCUAAUACCGGAUAAGCCCUUACGGGGAAAGAUUUAUCGCCGAAGGAUCGGCCCGCGUCUGAUUAGCUAGUUGGUGAGGUAACGGCUCACCAAGGCGACGAUCAGUAGCUGGCUGAGAGGAUGAUCAGCCACACUGGGACUGAGACACGGCCCAGACUCCUACGGGAGGCAGCAGUAGGGAAUAUUGGACAAUGGGGGCAACCCUGAUCCAGCCAUGCCGCGUGAGUGAUGAAGGCCUUAGGGUUGUAAAGCUCUUUUGUGCGGGAAGAUAAUGACGGUACCGCAAGAAUAAGCCCC